UACGAGGGGGGCGAGCGUUGUUCGGAAUUAUUGGGCGUAAAGGGCGCGUAGGCGGUGCGGUAAGUCACCUGUGAAACCUCUGGGCUUAACUCAGAGCCUGCAGGCGAAACUGCCGUGCUGGAGUGUGGGAGAGGUGCGUGGAAUUCCCGGUGUAGCGGUGAAAUGCGUAGAGAUCGGGAGGAACACCAGAGGCGAAAGCGGCGACCUGGAUAGGUACUGA
rnacentral:rRNA from 1 species